UACGGAGGGUGCGAGCGUUGUCCGGAAUCACUGGGCGUAAAGGGCGCGUAGGCGGCUCGGUAAGUAGGGGGUGAAAUCCUGCGGCUUAACCGCAGGGCUGCCUUCUAAACUGUCGAGCUUGAGCACGGUAGAGGCAGAUGGAAUUCCCGGUGUAGCGGUGGAAUGCGUAGAGAUCGGGAAGAACAUCAGUGGCGAAGGCGGUCUGCUGGGCCGUUGCUGACGCUGAGGCACGAAAGCCAGGGGAGCGAACGGG
rnacentral:rRNA from 1 species